rnacentral:rRNA from 1 species
GACGUAGGGCGCGAGCGUUGUCCGGAUUUAUUGGGCGUAAAGAGCUCGUAGGCGGCUUGUUGCGUCAGCUGUGAAAACCCGCAGCUCAACUGUGGGCUUGCAGCUGAUACGGGCAGGCUUGAGUUCGGUAGGGGAGACUGGAAUUCCUGGUGUAGCGGUGAAAUGCGUAGAUAUUGGGAGGAAUACCAGUGGCGAAGGCGGCUCCCUGGACCGGUACCGACGCUGAGGUGCGAAAGCGUGGGGAGCAAACAGG